UAAGAGUCUCCUAGUUGGUCUGGUUUUGAAGGCAUGAAAGGGUCAUGGAGAGCAGCUUAAACUUGGCACCAUGAGAUGCCAGAAGAGGCCACUGGUGAAGGUACAGCCACAGCUGCAGUAGAAGCCCCAGGACUGAAGGGGUCAUGAAGUGAAACUAAGGAUUCAUACUAUGUCGCACAAUCAAAGCCCCUGAAGAGAGCCCAGUAGAGGCCAUUGGUGAAGAUGCAGUCCAGUUCUCGAAGAGACCCCAGCAUUUUAGAAAUGGGACAACCACUAAGGACUGCAGCAGGUGUGGAGUGGAGCCAGCCUGAGCCUAGAAAACAACCUGUGUAUGUCAACAAUGGCAGAGGUAGAGAAAUUGAACUCUUUGGAGAAGCCCAGAGCGUGACAAACCCACAGUGAGUGAUGUCACCCAUGGCAGAUGGUCCGUGGUAGUGUGAAAAAGCAAGCUAUGUAAACCAUAAGGAGCAAGCCGGUAAAGCAAUACCCCUCCCCAGCCAAGGCUUCAGUUCCUGACUUCAGGUUCCUGCCUUGCUUCAGUUCCUGCCUUGACUUCAAUAGCGAUGAACUGUUACCUAGAAAUGAAAGCAAUCUUCUGGGAAGUCUAAGAACAGAGUCCUGGCAUCUGCUCAGCAUCUGGUGAGGGCCCUCUGGCUGUGUCAGCUCAUGGAAGAAGGCUGUCAGGAUCCCACUCUCGCCAUCACACAGGGGUCCAUCCUUGAGGACAGAGCCCUUUAGACUUCAUUUCCUCAACCCUGCUCACUCACUGUCUGCUCAGUAUCACUUCACUGGGGCUCAAGUUUCUAAUACACUUCUGAGUCUGAUAGCCCAGACCUAUAGUCAUAAUUGCCGCUACUGCUGAAACUGAGGCAAAAGGACCACAAAUCCAAGGCCUGCCUAGCUACAGUGAAUUUAAUAGUCUAUGCAACUUGGUGAUGUUCUGUCUCAAAAGGAAAAAUAAUAAAGAAGAGGUCUGGG
rnacentral:lncRNA from 1 species